GAGAGAGAGAGAGAGUGAGAGAGAGAGAGUGGGGGAGGGGUCUGGGCUUUGGGGUUAUUUAUUGAAGGAAUAAUGCAAGCAAAACGGAGAUGCCGGCAUCGGCAGGCUCCUCCAGUCUCGUGUUUAGAACCUCUCUGUACACAGAUUUCUCAAAAAAAGGGAGAAAAUUUAUGUUGUUGAGUCGAAGAAGAAGAGGCGAUCCGUCAACCCGGAUGAACUUAGAAAAGAAGGCGAGAAAGAGAAAGUAGCAGAGAUCUCUAGAGCAACGGGGAAUCCAGAUAGGACGGGGGGGAGAAGCCUCUCAGAGGUCCCUACCUGGUUCGUCGUCGUCGACGUCGGCGGCGGUGGUGGUCAGCAUUUGUUGUGGAUGGGGUCGGACCCUCUCCGGACUCUCCGUUUGCUGGCCCGGACGAGGUGGAGAGACGGCCGUGCCGCCACCCGCUUCACUCCGGCGAGCGAGCGCCGCCGGCUGUUUGCCGCCGGUGGGUUUCCCUCCCUCUCGCCGGAAGCCAUUUCCGGCGUUGCUGCUAGGAACCACAGAAGCACCACGAGGCAUAACAGCUUCCGGGCGCGUAGCUUCAUGGUUUCUUUCUUCUCCCG
rnacentral:lncRNA from 1 species